UAAUCUAUAUGAAACAAAUUCUCAUUUAAUUACGACAGAACCACACCUAACUACUCAAAAUCACUUGUGAUUUUGUGAAAUAUAACUUUUUAAGAUUUUAAUUGGAGU
rfam:Populus trichocarpa scaffold_1_contig_10, whole genome shotgun sequence.